UCAAGUUUCAUUCCUUCACUCCUUGACCUCCUCUCUUGUUUCUAGUUGCUCCAAUGUUCCAUUAUAACUUCCAAUUGGUGCUUAGCUUGAUCAAUUGCUUGAUGUAUUCAUCGGAUCAACUUUCAGAUAAUUGCAAUUUGGUCCCUGAAUUUUCAUUUUGCUCCAAUUUGGUCCUUUUUCGGCUCUUUUCUCCUGAAUUCCACUAUUUCCAUAGAAUCACCUACAUUGCAUGAAUUCAACAAAAUUAAGUCACAAUUCAAUCAUUUUACUUGUAUUUAAGUCAUGUUUGUGAUGUAAAUAAGUGUGCAAAAAUACACUUAUCAAACCCCCCAAACUUACGGCUCUUUUUUCCUGAAUUUCACUAUUUCCAUAGAAUCACCUACAUUGCAUGAAUUCAACAAAAUUAAGUCACAAUUCAAUCAUUUUACUUGUAUUUAAGUCAUG
rnacentral:lncRNA from 1 species